AAGUCGUAACAAGGUUUCCGUAGGUGAACCUGCGGAAGGAUCAUUAGAAAUGCCGAGCCUUCGGGUGAGGUCUACUCUAUACCACACACACCGUGCACCGCCUUUGGGCUUUCAAACAUGAAUGUGAUGAACGUUGAAUACAUAACACAAAUACAACUUUCAACAACGGAUCUCUUGGCUCUCGCAUCGAUGAAGAACGCAGCGAAAUGCGAAAAGUAAUGUGAAUUGCAGAAUUCAGUGAAUCAUCGAAUCUUUGAACGCACCUUGCACCCUUUGGUAUUCCGAAGGGUAUGCCUGUCUGAGUGUCAUUAGACCAUCUCCCCCUCGGUUUUCUGAACCGCUGUUGGUGGAGCUUUGGGGGUCUUGCCCUUUACCGGGCUCCCCUUGAACGCCUAAGUGAUACGAUAAGUCAACGUCACUCUAAUGUAACAACACUCUUGCUCUGACCUCAGAUCAGGUAGGACUACCCGCUGAACUUAA
rnacentral:rRNA from 1 species